rnacentral:rRNA from 1 species
AGCGAACGCUGGCGGCAGGCUUAACACAUGCAAGUCGAGCGGGCGUAGCAAUACGUCAGCGGCAGACGGGUGAGUAACACGUGGGAACGUGCCCUUUGGUUCGGAACAACUCCGGGAAACUGGAGCUAAUACCGGAUAAGCCCUUCGGGGGAAAGAUUUAUCGCCAAAGGAUCGGCCCGCGUCUGAUUAGCUAGUUGGUGGGGUAAUGGCCCACCAAGGCGACGAUCAGUAGCUGGUCUGAGAGGAUGAUCAGCCACACUGGGACUGAGACACGGCCCAGACUCCUACGGGAGGCAGCAGUGGGGAAUAUUGGACAAUGGGCGCAAGCCUGAUCCAGCCAUGCCGCGUGAGUGAUGAAGGCCUUAGGGUUGUAAAGCUCUUUCACCGGUGAAGAUAAUGACGGUAACCGGAGAAGAAGCCCCGGCUAACUUCGUG